rnacentral:lncRNA from 1 species
CUAACCAAGUCAAACAGUUUCAAGUACUCAGUAAAUGUUGGGGUGGAUGUAUAUUCUAACCAAUAUAUCACUUCCUGAAUUUACAUUCUGAGGCCUCGAUCUCUUCCAUGUGGUCGCACAACACCUGCUUUACAACUAAGACAGGAUGGUGGGUUUUUUGUUGCUUACAUCACCUACUGAGUGUUGACAGCAAUGAUGGAACAAGUCAGCAAGUUUUCAGGGUGCUGCUGUGGAGCUGUGGAGAUGGGACCUUUAAAAGAGGAACUUGGCCAAGGUUGUGACAUUAAGGAAUGAAUUAAAGGUUCAGAUCAAGUGACACUUUCAUCUGCCUUACAAAUUACUAGGUUUCCACUUGAAAUGGUUAACACAAAUUGCCCCAUUCUCAUUCAUACCCAGCAAUCGGUGCUGGUCCCUGAACAACUGAACAUGGGCUUCAGUCUUAAAUCUAGAACCUUUGUGGAAAACAAAAAUUGA